UAACCGACAAUGACCUUUAACCUUUGCUGCUGCUGAUUUUGAAUCUUAGCAAAAACGGCUAAUUCCUUUAUGCUAGCAAUUGUGAGAAAAGAGGAUACAGUCACGAUGCAGGUGGUGACAACAUGAUGCUAACUCUAAAACUUAGCAUCCAGCUAACUUGGAGAGAAUGUAACCGUUGACGCAAACCCGGAAGUGCAACAUCUGUGGACAGAGACUGAGCUUCGACUACAAACUACUUUGUGAAGAAAGCAAUCGAUGGCCUCAGCAUUUCUCUGUGGACCCACAAUCCUCCGCUGCACGGGGAGAGUGUUUGCCACACACGGCCGCUUCCUGUUCCUGUGCCGCCCUGGGGAUCGCUGUGCACACAACGCCGAGGACCCACACAAGGUGAAAAGGUGGACGAGAUGCUGCUUACUCAUCUAUUCUGCUCACGCUCAGACCGAAGGAGGCAGACGUACAAGGAGAGGGGAGGGGGGGCACCUCCUUCACAGCUAAACCCCCCCAAAUGUCAUGGAGGGGGCGGCACAUUAUUGCCAUGGAAACCCAGCCUCAGUUAUGUCUGAUCUUGAUCAGCAGUGAGGCUGAGAUUGCUCUCACCUGCUCUCUGCUCCCCAGGUGUCUUGAUUUUUAAAGUUCGAGAACAGAUUGUUGUCACUUGGCUCUGACGUUUGCUGGAUCAGUUUAAUCUCAGGUGAUAAUUUAACCGGGGAGAAGAUGAUCUCUGGAAACAGAAUCUUUAAUUUGAGGGAUAAGAUUUCUGAUAGAUUACAAUUGAUUGUAGUCGAAGCAACACUGUAGUCUGAUAGCAUUUCAGUGUGCUGUGGCUUCAUGCAGGAAAACAAUCCAUGGAGAGCAAAAGAAGUUGGACCAAGUGGUGUUGAAACGAAGCCGGAUGUGCAUCAAACUGCAGUACCUUGAGCGUCCACUUGAGGCUGGCCCCACAAGCCAAAGAAACCCUAUUGGAGAUGUUCACAGCCUGAUACAAAAGAGGGUUUUGGUC